CCUGUGCAUCGCUCCACCGCUGUCCGCCGCGAGGCGGAGAGAGGAAAGUCCGGGCAGCGUAGGGCAGCGUGCUUCCUAACGGGAAGGGGGCCACUUGGGAACGGGUGGUCCACAGAAAGUGCCGCAGAAAGGGAGACCGCCGAUCGUUGGAUCCAUAGUGAAGGCCCGCCUUCGCGAAGGCUUCGGCGAGGCAAGGAUGAAAAGGUGCGGUAAGAGCGCACCAGCGUCCUGGUGACAGGGCGGCUUGGUAAACCUCACGCGCUGAAAGACCAUGUAUACCGUGCGUCCCGUAUCGUCGGGGCGAGGAAAGCCCGUCCUUCCAACACCAGUUGGAGCGCGGAGGGUAGGUCGAUGGACCCCGUUGGUGACGGCGGGGCUAGAUAGAUGGUGGAGGUCCGCUACGGUGGAUACAGAACCCGGCUUACAGAUGCACAGGACCU
rnacentral:RNase_P_RNA from 1 species